GAGGAAUAUUGGUCAAUGGACGAAAGUCUGAACCAGCCAAGUAGCGUGCAGGAUGACGGCCCUCUGGGUUGUAAACUGCUUUUAGUUGGGAAUAAAAAAGAGGACGUGUCCUCUAUUGUAUGUACCUUCAGAAAAAGGACCGGCUAAUUCCGUGCCAGCAGCCGCGGUAAUACGGAAGGUCCAGGCGUUAUCCGGAUUUAUUGGGUUUAAAGGGAGCGUAGGCGGAUUAUUAAGUCAGUGGUGAAAGACGGUGGCUCAACCAUCGUUAGCCAUUGAAACUGGUAGUCUUGAGUGCAGACAGGGAUGCUGGAACUCGUGGUGUAGCGGUGAAAUGCUUAGAUAUCACGAUGAACUCCGAUCGCGAAGGCAGGUGUCCGGGCUGCAACUGACGCUGAGGCUCGAAAGUGUGGGUAUCAAACAGGAUUAGAUACCCUGGUAGUCCACACAGUAAACGAUGUAUACUCGCGGUUUGCGAUAUAUUGUAAGCCGCCAAGCGAAAGCAUUAAGUAUACCACCUGGGGAGUACGCCGGCAACGGUG
rnacentral:rRNA from 1 species